rnacentral:rRNA from 1 species
UACGUAGGCAGCGAGCGUUGUUCGGAGUUACUGGGCGUAAAGAGUGCGUAGGCGGUUUUCUAAGUUUGGUGUGAAAUCUCCCGGCUUAGCUGGGAGGGUGCGCCGAAGACUGGAAGGCUAGAGUAUGGGAGAGGUAAGCGGAAUUCCUGGUGUAGCGGUGAAAUGCGUAGAUAUCAGGAGGAACACCUGCGGUGUAGACGGCUUACUGGACCAUAACUGACGCUGAGGCACGAAAGCGUGGGUAGCAAACAGG